AGAAAUGCCCAAUCGGAGAAGAAGAAGAUGAGAGCGAAUCAGAGGAAGAGAGAGGAAGAAACUGACCAACCAGGGGAAGGAAAGGAGGGAAAGGAGGGUGAGUGGUGCACGGGGGAACAGGAGGAACGGGUCACCCUUGACCCGCGCGACCCAAGCUUCCAAAUCGGCGGGUUUUCGCCAUUUUCGUCCAAUUUUCCGACGAAUUGAAUCAAGGUACCACUCCCAAUCAACAUCUAGACAUUCCCUCUUCACGUUUCACCCCAAGAAUCAUUGAAUUUCAUGGUGAUUUCGCGAAGAACACCCCUACGGGUGCCGCGACCUUUUUGUUUAAAUUCAUCAAAUUUUGAAAUGUUUUCUUGAAAUUACUAACACCAUUAGCAUUCCUUUAGGACCUAGAACAAAGCCCAAGAGGUAAUUGAGGCGUUGGAACAAGUUUGAAGGUCGAAUUGGAAACACCCAAUUCUAGGGUUCUUCACGGUUUUGGUGAAAUUGAAGCACUUCCAGGCCAAAUUGGCCUUGGCCACAGGUAUGAAAGUUGUUCGACUCAUUGAGAUCUUCAAAUCUGCAAAUUUAGGUAAUUUUUGGAAAUAGUUGAAUUUUCCGGCGAGCCGGGGCGGCCAACCGCCACCCGCGGCGGCCCACGCGGCGGCGCGUGGCCAAUGGCUCGCCAAUGUCAUUAUUAGCAUGUGUUUGAGGUUCUAGGUUCAGUUUUGAUAAUUGAUGGACGUAAAUUGAAUAAUUGAACCUAAGUUGGUUACGAUUCGUGGUUAGGUGAAAAUGUGAAUUGACGAUCCGACCGUUGGAUGGUAAUGAAAUUUUAGGAUGUUGUCCUAGAGGUAUAUUGUGGACCUCUGGAAGUUACGGAUUUGAAAUCUGAGUUGCAGAUCAUCCGGAUCGAACUACGUAGUGACGUGUCUUAUAUAAGUUAUGUAUUCGAUCGGCAGGAUUUCUGAGGUUGGAUUUGAUUAUUGUUCUAGGCACUGAUCAUCACGACGCCUUGAUGUACGGUGCUA
rnacentral:lncRNA from 1 species